UUGGCUCCGCCAUUAAGGGGGAAAUUUCCGGUUAGCUGUCAGUUAGGUUAGGUAGGUUAAAUAAUUAUCCUUGGUUGAAUCGUCAGGUGUGUUUACGUGUGUCAGUUGAUACAAUUUUCCAAACUCUACGUGAAAAAAAUAUUAAUUACACAAGUCGAGAUGGUACAUUGUGCAGCAGAAGGAUGCCAAAACACUUCCAAAUUAGGUGUAAAAAUGAAUAAAUUACCAAAAGAAAUUGAUCGUCAAGAAAAAUGGAUACAAAAUGCCAAGUUGGAAAAUAAAAGAAUGAAAGAAAGAAAUACUUGAAAAAUUUACGAUACUGGAAACUCAAUACGAAACCCUAUUAAAAGGACAGGAAACAAUAAAUGUGCAGAUGAAGGAAAUAUUUAAAAAAUUGUCAGAGAAUACAACCGAGAUCUCUAAAACAUUUUAUGAGCCUCUCGAUGGUUUUCCAUUAAAAUCAUUGGAAGAUUUUUAUAACCUUGAGAGUGAGACUUAAGAAAAUAAACGAACGCAACCAAUUGUGUUAUCAUUUACAAUCUUUAGGAGGCGCGAAGUUGAGAGAAUUUUUACAUACUUCUGUAAAACACAUUAUGACUGAUGAAUUGGUUAAUCAGUUCACGUGGUUCGGUGGGAUUGGAACUGAAAAGUUUGGCGACACAAAAAUGUCUACCUUAUUAUACAGGAAACAGCUACUGCUUUUCCUUCCUCACCGCACAGCGCCGCGCCUACAGCCACGGCUGCCUACGUCUCGGCGAUCGGCGGGCGGUCCUUGCGCGCGGUGAUACGCGCUUAU
rnacentral:lncRNA from 13 species